rnacentral:ncRNA from 1 species
AACCGCCGGAUGCGGAAAACCGCACGUCCGGUGGUGUGGGAGGGGUGACGGGCUGGUCCCGUCACCUCGACCCAAU